rnacentral:tRNA from 1 species
AGUGGUUCAGUGGUAGAGUGCUUGCCUUACAUGCAUGAGGGCCUGGGUUCGAUUCCUCGGCACUA